rfam:Chaetura pelagica isolate M959 contig8784, whole genome shotgun sequence.
CUAGGAGAACCGAAAACAGUUCUAGACUGACCUGCGGUUUUAUAGCACUUUGGCAGUCAACUUCAGCUUGUGUCAGAGCAGACAUGACAGAACUGCCCAACGCCUAGUCUCGGGACGCCAACUCCACGGACUCAACUGCAGCCCCCCUCUUGCAUUUCAAUAAAUUUCAAACCUGGGGGCUAGAAAUGGGGAGCAGAGCUG